AUGUUCGGAAAAACAAACGAGGCUCCGGCGAGAGAGAAGGGGAGUUUUUAAAGGGUUGUUGCCCCUCUCUUGCCACAACAUCAUCAUGUUGAGCUGGGUUUGUGACGCAGUGUGUUACCCGUUUCCCUUUUACUUCGAUGAUGAGAUGUUGCUGCUGUUGUAGUUACAUUAGAAAAGGCUGUGACGAUGGAAAUUGUUUUGAGCAAAAUCGGAAUUUACCGACUGGAUCCGUAUCUUGGCUAGGCAAAAUCAGAAAAUCUACUGGGAUUGCAGCCAUGGCGGAUUUCAACAAUAAAUUCUGACGAUAACAUAUCUGAGCCUCAAAACAUUUAUCCUUGGAGAUAAGAAGAACAUCUAUCUCUACCUAAAGGUGCACAUUUUGGGUUUUAUUUUGCCAAACAACGGUCAAAACCGGGAUUUGGUGAAACUAGUUUACAAAUUACAAGUGGAAAAGGAGUGGUUCUGUUUGAAACCAGUUCUGGUUUUUGAAACGGCUUCAAGGGAGGAGUUCUCAAAAAGAUAAGUGGAAAAGGAUCGAUUUCUUUCUGGUUCGGGUCACAAACUGGUUUUUUUAUUCAACUCUACAUUUACCUGUAACCACCUUAAAUGAUGAGAUGAUGUGUUAUGCUCUCAAUUGAAUUGUGGCUCAGGUGAGAUUGAGGAGGUUUCUUAGAGUAGCUUCCCUCUUGCCAUUUGAUCCUCUCAUCGCUAUGAGUUGAUGAUUUUGACUGCUGGGGUUUGCUUUAUCUUUUCUAGUUGGUUGUGGUGCUAAUUGUUUUAAUAAAUAAAAUAUUAAAAAUUUAUAAAGGGUGAACAGGGGCAUCAAUCCGAUUCAUAUCUUGGCGGGGCAAGAUCUGGAUAGCAUAGUGAAGAAGAAUUUGAUAUUAUACAACUGUAGCGAUGGCGUAACUUGUUUCUUCUUUGUCCCCAUCCCCCAAUUACAGAUCUGAGCCUAAUUAUUUAUCUCUUUACAUUAAAUAUAUUCUCUCUUGUAAAUAUGAUCUUAUAUUUUAUGGAGGUUUUUUUGAGAGCAA
rnacentral:lncRNA from 1 species